rnacentral:tRNA from 1 species
GUUGUGGCUCAGCGGUAGAGCACUCACCUCGCAUGUGCAGGGCCCUGGGUUCGAUCCCCAGCACCACA